UUGUAUUUAUGUAUAUUUAAUAAUCCGAUUUGGCAAAUUUGAGAAAGACUAUUCGUUACUAAUUCAUUUCCCGAUACCCUCCGCCGCCUCCAUCCCCUCCCCGGACGUUUUUCUUCUCCGGUAACCUUGCUCAGCUCUGCCCUCUGAGAAGAGAGAGGGAACGAUUCUGAAAUCAUCUGUUGAUGAUCGGUUAUUGAGAUAGCUAGACAAGGAAUGGCGUGAGUGAAGAUCAACAGUAGGGCAGUUUGAGCUUGAGAAUCAUAGGAAGGAGUUGGACAAGAUUAAUAAGGAUAUUGCUAAGCGCAAAACAUAGUAAAGAAAUUGCAACAUUUACUCAAUCAGGCAAGGCAGGUGAAUUAUGAUUGAGUAGACAUUAUAGAAGAAUAGCAGGAUGAGACGCUCUUUCAUGUUGUAUGCUUUGAGUGUCAUAUCAGGUCCAGAUCUUCCUAACAAUGAAGAGACCAACCAAAUGAAAUGGAAAAAUGCAAGAGAAUAGAUUAGAGAUGGAUGAAUCCCACAUGUCCUUGUAAUAAGGUUAGUAAAAUCUAUCGAGACCUUAUAUAUAUAACAUAUAAGAUGUUUUUUUUUGUUCAAUUAAUGAAUGAUAUGGUUUUGCUAAACAUGGCAAGUAUUAGAGACCAUUGGUCUCAAAGGAAGUUAUAUAGUUUGUAAUCUACAAUCUGUUUAACAAAA